rnacentral:rRNA from 1 species
UGCGUAGGCGGGGCAAUUAGUCAGUGGUGAGAUCCUGCGGCUUAACCGUAGAACUGCCAUUGAUACUGUUGCCCUUGAGUAUAGUUGAAGUGGGCGGAAUAUGUAAUGUAGCGGUGAAAUGCAUAGAGAUUACAUAGAACACCAAUUGCGAAGGCAGCUCACUAAGCUAUCACUGACGCUGAGGCACGAAAGCGUGGGGAGCGAACAGGAUUAGAUACCCUGGUAGUCC